rnacentral:rRNA from 1 species
UACGUAGGGUGCGAGCGUUAAUCGGAAUUACUGGGCGUAAAGUGUGCGCAGGCGGCCGAGCAAGUCGAGUGUGAAAGCCCCGAGCUUAACUUGGGAACUGCGCUCGAAACUACUUGGCUAGAGUGUGGCAGAGGGAGGUGGAAUUCCACGUGUAGCGGUGAAAUGCGUAGAGAUGUGGAGGAACACCGAUGGCGAAGGCAGCCUCCUGGGCCAACACUGACGCUCACGCACGAAAGCGUGGGGAGCAAACAGG